ACGAUAUAGUUUUACUUAGUUUUACUUAGUUGUACUGAGUUGUACUAAGUUAUACUGAGUUUUACUUAUACUGAGUUGUACUACUGUACUAAUUAUACUGAGUAUUACUAGUUAUACUGGUUAUACUAUGUAAUACUAAGUACCAUUGAGUUAGUUAUACCGAGUUCAACUGAGUUAUACUGGUUACAUUGGAGUACUUCUGUGUUAGUUAUACAUAGUUCUACUGAAUUAUACUCGUUAUAUUGUGUAAUACUAAGUACAACUGAGUUAGUUAUACUAAGUCGACUGAGUUAGUAAUACAUAGUUAUACAUAAUCCAGAUCUGAAGAUGAAAUAAAUAAAUAAAACACGAAAAAUUCCUGGAAAGGGAAAACAAGAAGAACCCUAAAUCAUAAAAAUCCCAGAAUCUUCUUUAUGAACCCUAAAUCAUGAACUAUCUAGAACAAAAAAAAUCCUAAAUUGGAGAAAAACCCAGAUAUGGAACGCGAGAAGAAGAAGAAAUCGUCAUUGAACCCAUUUCCACCAUCUUCAACGGUUGAUGGUUCUGUCUCCAUCACUGGCGGAAUCAUUGAGGACGUUUUACAUCACGAACAGAGUUUUCAUCACUUGCAACAUAUCUCAAAGAACAAAAAGAAUAAGAGAGAGGAGAAGAGAUACAAGAUUGAAUCGCCAUGGUUGAUAUGCUCUGAUUAUAUGCUCUGAUCUUAUCAUAAAACAUUGAAGAGUGAAAGGUAGAAGAAGGAGAGAAGAAGCGGCGCAGAGAAAAGAAGAAAAAAAUAAGAAAUAAAAACUGAACUUUC
rnacentral:lncRNA from 1 species